rnacentral:rRNA from 1 species
AUUGAACGCUGGCGGCAGGCCUAACACAUGCAAGUCGAACGAGUGGCGGACGGGUGAGUAAUGUCUGGGAAACUGCCCGAUGGAGGGGGAUAACUACUGGAAACGGUAGCUAAUACCGCAUACCAUCGGAUGUGCCCAGAUGGGAUUAGCUAGUAGGUGGGGUAACGGCUCACCUAGGCGACGAUCCCUAGCUGGUCUGAGAGGAUUACCCGCCACACUGGAACGGAGGCACGGUCCAGACUCCUACGGGAGGCAGCAGUGGGGAAUAUUGCACAAGGGGCGCAAGCCUGAUGCAGCCAUGCCGCGGGUAUGAAGAAGGCCUUCGGGUUGUAAAGUAAUUUCAGCUGGGAGGCGUUACUCGCAGAAGAAGCACCGGCUAACGACGUGCCAGCAGCCGCGGUAAUAC